GUGCUCAUGGACAGCGAAAGAACACGAACCCUAACAGUGAUACAAGGGACGAUGAUCAAGAAGAAGAUAGAGGAGUAUGCUAAGUUUUUUCAUGUCGUAAUCUUAACUUGUUUGUUAGAAGUUUCGUUUAGAUGAGGAAGAUGCUGAUGGAGCCAUGAGGAGGAUGCUGAUGGAGCCUUGAGGAGGAUGCUGAUGGAGCCUUGAGGAGGAUGCUGAUGGAGACUUGAGGAGGAUGCUGGUGGAGCCAUGAGGAGGAUGCUGGUGGAGCCAUGAGGAGGAUGCUGGUGGAGCCAUGAGGAGGAUGCUGAUGGAGCCUUGAGGAGGAUGCUGAUGGAGCCAUGAGGAGGAUGCCGAUGGAGCCAUGAGGAGAAUGCUGAUGGAGCCUUGAGGAGGAUGCUGAUGGAGCCAUGAGGAGCAUGCUGAUGGAGAGACAAGGAGGAUCCAGAUGAAGA